rnacentral:rRNA from 1 species
AGACCCGAAACCCGGUGAUCUAGCCAUGGGCAGGUUGAAGGUUGGGUAACACUAACUGGAGGACCGAACCGACUAAUGUUGAAAAAUUAGCGGAUGACCUGUGGCUGGGGGUGAAAGGCCAAUCAAACCGGGAGAUAGCUGGUUCUCCCCGAAAGCUAUUUAGGUAGCGCCUCGUGAAUUCAUCUCCGGGGGUAGAGCACUGUUUCGGCUAGGGGGCCAUCCCGGCUUACCAACCCGAUGCAAACUGCGAAUACCGGAGAAUGUUAUCACGGGAGACACACGGCGGGUGCUAACGUCCGUCGUGAAGAGGGAAACAACCCAGACCGCCAGCUAAGGUCCCAAAGUCAUGGUUAAGUGGGAAACGAUGUGGGAAGGCCCAGACAGCCAGGAUGUUGGCUUAGAAGCAGCCAUCAUUUAAAGAAAGCGUAAUAGCUCACUGGUCGAGUCGGCCUGCGCGGAAGAUGUAACGGGGCUAAACCAUGCACCGAAGCUGCGGCAGCGAACGUAUCACUUAAAGCGAUUCAGCGGGUUACGAUUGACGGAGCGAAGCGACGUCAAAGCGUAUACAAAGUCGAGUCGGUUUAAGGAUACGUUCGUUGGGUAGGGGAGCGUUCUGUAAGCCUGUGAAGGUGUGUCGUGAGGCAUGCUGGAGGUAUCAGAAGUGCGAAUGCUGACAUAAGUAACGAUAAAGCGGGUGAAAAGCCCGCUCGCCGGAAGACCAAGGGUUCCUGUCCAACGUUAAUCGGGGCAGGGUGAGUCGACCCCUAAGGCGAGGCCGAAAGGCGUAGUCGAUGGGAAACGGGUUAAUAUUCCCGUACUUGGUGUUACUGCGAAGGGGGGACGGAGAAGGCUAUGUUGGCCGGGCGACGGUUGUCCCGGUUUAAGCGUGUAGGUGUGUGUUCCAGGUAAAUCCGGUUCACUUUAACACUGAGGCGUGAUGACGAGGCACUACGGUGCUGAAGCAACAAAUGCCCUGCUUCCAGGAAAAGCCUCUAAGCAUCAGGUAACAUCAAAUCGUACCCCAAACCGACACAGGUGGUCAGGUAGAGAAUACCAAGGCGCUUGAGAGAACUCGGGUGAAGGAACUAGGCAAAAUGGUGCCGUAACUUCGGGAGAAGGCACGCUGACAUGUAGGUGAAGUGAUUUACUCAUGGAGCUGAAGUCAGUCGAAGAUACCAGCUGGCUGCAACUGUUUAUUAAAAACACAGCACUGUGCAAACACGAAAGUGGACGUAUACGGUGUGACGCCUGCCCGGUGCCGGAAGGUUAAUUGAUGGGGUCAGCGCAAGCGAAGCUCCUGAUCGAAGCCCCGGUAAACGGCGGCCGUAACUAUAACGGUCCUAAGGUAGCGAAAUUCCUUGUCGGGUAAGUUCCGACCUGCACGAAUGGCGUAAUGAUGGCCAGGCUGUCUCCACCCGAGACUCAGUGAAAUUGAACUCGCUGUGAAGAUGCAGUGUACCCGCGGCAAGACGGAAAGACCCCGUGAACCUUUACUAUAGCUUGACACUGAACAUUGAGCCUUGAUGUGUAGGAUAGGUG